UCAUGUAUAUUCACAGUGCAUCAUGGGAUAUGUAGUUGCUAAAAAUACAUUUCCUUUCAUGUGCUGUGUGUAUGCCUGAG
ensembl:miRNA